UUUCCGUAGGUGAACCUGCGGAAGGAUCAUUAUUGUAUAACCGAGGUGCGAGGGCUGUCGCUGACCCGAAAGGUCGUGCACGCCCGAGUGCCCUCACACACAUCCAUCUCACCCCUAUGUGCACCACCGCGUGGGUCCCCCUUUUGGCUUGUUCGGAGGGGGGCUUACGUUUUCACACAAACUUUGUAUGCAGUGUAGAAUGUAUUUUUUGUUUUUGCGAUCACGCAAUCAAUACAACUUUCAACAACGGAUCUCUUGGCUCUC
rnacentral:misc_RNA from 1 species